rnacentral:lncRNA from 1 species
CUUCUAUCUGCUUCUCUCCAGAUUACUCGGGUCAGGGGCAUCUGGGGACAUUUGCUGUCUCAGAAGCGUUAUCAGUUGGCAUGGUCGGCUUCGUCUUGCCAGUCCUGAAAUGACCUUCUCGUGAACAUAAAGCUUGCAGAGUUGGCAUCACAAGGUCCAUCCCUUCUGCAGGAAGAAAAGGCUGUAGGCUAAGCUGAACUUUCUCUGCAGUCAUCAGGAAGAGAACAUUAUUGCUGCUGUCAUGAUUGUCUGAAGAUAUAGGGAAGACAGAGUUUUUAAGAAGAGAGCUUCUGUGCACAAGAAAGUCAAGAAGAGACAGAGGUGAACCUAUCAUCAAAGCCACACAAGGACAGCACAACUCCCAGAAGUGAGCAGAAUCAUUAGACAUUCAGAUUUCAUGGACUCAUCUAAAAUAGCUGCCUCAGGA